rnacentral:misc_RNA from 1 species
GCUCCCUAAACUUCGGAUACACUAAAGAAACAACAUGGCUGGUUAUUCAACAACUGAAAUGAAAGAGGUUUUAGAAAGAUUGAACGAUUGGGAGCGAGAUAUAGAUCCACUAGCUCCACUAACAUCUUUGCAGAAAGAAAGUAUUGAAGAACUAAUGUCGAUUGUUGCUUUCAGGCUUUUACCUAGUGAGGUUAACAGUGAACGAAUUUCCCCUUUAGAACCAGAAUAUGAACUACAGAAGGAAAGAAAUAAUUCUGAAGUAAUGUGCUUAAAUUCAGCUUUGGUAAAUUUUCAAGUAGAAGAGACUGUUGAAACAUCACAACAAUUUUUGUCCUUGGUUGACAAUAUUGAAGAGAGAAUUUUGAAAGAUGAUGACGAAGCCAUGAAAUUGUAUAUUGAUCAACUUUGCACUAGUAACAUGGAAUGUAGCAGUCUUCUUGAUGAAAUAACAACCUCUCUUGAAGAACUAGAGUCAUUACAGAAACUCUAUAUUUUUGUGUCAGACAAGACCAAUACUUUACAUGAGGCAUGCGAGCAGCUUCUAACGGAUCAGGCUACUUUGGUCAAUUGUGCAGAAGUUAUCAAGGAAAAGCUCAGUUACUUUAAUGAACUUGAAACACUUUCACAGAAAUUGAAUUCUCCAACUCUUUCUGUCGUUAGUGAGUCUUUUGUUCCAAUGUUGGCUCGAUUAGAUGACUGCAUUGCCUAUCUGAAAGCAAAUCCUCAGUACAAGGAAUCAGAAACCUAUCUUGCUCGGUUCAAGCGGCUGUUAGCUCAAGCUCUGGGCAUGAUUCAGUCGUACGUGAUGGCCAACCUUCAACAGACUACCCAGCAAAUCUUAGCUCGUAAAGACACACUUUCUCCUAAUGAUAAUGCUUUCACGCUUUUAUAUGGAAAAUUCCGAGCCCGAGGUCCCCGAAUAAGAGCUUUGAUGGAACAGAUAGAAGAAAGAGUUGAGAAAAAUUCAGAAUACCAACAGCUUUUAGAAGACUGUCAUCAGUGCUACUUUACUCAAAGGGAGUUGCUUUUAGGACCAGGUGUGUCAACAGCUAUCACAAACUUAGCAGAGAAACACCAGCGUGAUCACUGUGCUUUGAUGAGGAGUGGGUGUGCCUUCCUAGUGCACCUUUCUGAAGAUGAGCAUCAGUUGUACCAGCAUUUUUUCUCUCGACCAAGUCAAGAACUGAACACUUUUCUGGAACGUUUGUGUCAACGACUGUAUGAUGUGUUGCGUACAAUAAUCAUCCACGUAAAUCAUUUAGAAACCCUUACUGAACUCUGUACUAUCUUGAAGGUGGAAAUGUUGGAAGAGUUUGUACAGAAUGAUCCCAAACAGCUUGAAGCUUUUGCUAACGUGGCCCAGCAGAUGUUGGAAGAUGUUCAGGAAAGACUGGCCUACAGAACCCACAUUUACAUCAGAACAGAUAUUCUGAAUUAUCAUCCCGCUCCAGGAGACUUAGCUUAUCCGGAAAAACUAGAAAUGAUGCAGAACAUUGCAGAGAGCUUGGCUCAAAAGCCCCUUAGCCGCUCCAGUUCUCGAUCCUCCCUAGGGUCAACUACUUCAGCGCCAGCCUGUGUUAGUAGAGAGUCUAAGAACAGAGAGGAAAGUAUUGCAGUCAUGUCAGUUUCAGCGUCCGAACAAGUGAUGGAGACCACCAUGUCCCAGUCAGCGUCAGAAUUAAAUCCGAGUGUUCCUGUCAAAGGAAGGACUGUUUUAUAUUCACCAGCUGAUCUCCAUGGCAUGUGGUACCCCACAGUCCGUCGAACAUUAGUAUGUUUGUCCAAAUUGUACCGAUGCUUGGAGAAGACUAUUUUCCAAGGCUUGUCUCAAGAGGUCUUAUCCAUGUGUAUCCAGUCUUUAGUGUCUGCCAGUCAAAGUAUAGCCAAGAACAAGACCUCACUUGAUGCACAUCUGUUCCUGAUUAAACACCUGUUAAUUCUUCGAGAACAGAUUUCUCCAUUCCAAAUUGAUUUUGUCAUCAAGGAGACAGUUCUUGACUUCAGCCGUAUUAAAAGUGCUGCUUUUGGCUUACUGCAUAAAAAGUCAAAACUUUUCUCUCUAAAUUCAAAUAAUGCUUUGCUCGAGUUUCUGCUCGAGGGAACACCACAAGUCAUGGAAAAUCUUGUCGAUUCCAAAAAGGCCGUUGACAACCAGUUGAAGAUAAUAUGUGAGGAAUUCAUUGCAAAUACUGUUGAAAUGUUAAUAGGACAGCUUCUUAUUUUCCUGAAUAAGGCUAAAGUCAUCUUAGAAGUUGGGGAGAAAGAGGCUACACGACAAGUAGUGCUGAAGAACCAGCCUUGGGCUAGCCCGGAAAAAGUGUCUGAACUUGUUAAUGAAGCGUACAAACAUUUAAAAAACAAGCUUCCGAACUUGGCAAAUAGCAUGUCGCUAUAUUUAGCCAACAGAGAUACAGAGCACAUUCUGUUUAGGCCAAUCAGGAACCGAGUUCAAUCUGCCUUUGAACAGCUUCUACAGCUAGUUCGAACGAACUACAGUGAAGAUGAACAGUUGAUAAUUGGUUGCCCAUCUACUGAUCAGAUCAGCCUUCUAUUGUCAUCUGCCAUUAUCAGGUGAAAGUUAGCCAUCAGAGUCUGUGGUGGUGUAUAUUCUCCAAUAAAGCACUGGGAACAAAGAAAGGUCCUGUCAGAAUUUGAAGCAGAUUAGCCUACAUGGAGAUGAUUAGUUCAAACACAUUUUUUCUUGACUGUUUUGGUUUAUGUAAUGGUGAAGUUAGGUUUAUUACUUCUGGGGUUUUACAAUAUCAUCUUAACAAUCACGUAAGUUCUGACAAAUGAAAGAAUUUUGAUUGGCUGUUUAGUAAUACAUUUUCAUAAUGCCUAAGAAGUGGCUCUACAUUUAGUUCACUUUUCUUGAAUACCUUUGGUAAUGAAAAGUGGUGUCUGGACAUGUUUGUUAAACUUGGAUAUAAUACUAAUUCUUCCACCUAAACUAGAUGGACAACUGUUUAAGCUUCAGUCUUUUUUUAUUCACAGUGAAAAAAAAGAUAUGUGUAUAAAAACAGAAACUACACAAAUUAUUUAGUAACCUCAUACUUGUCUGAAUUAAUUUUAAAAUUAUGAAACAGAGCAGCAUAUGUGAUGAUGAGGCUAUUUAUCUUAUGAAUAUUAAAGUAAACACAUGUUGAACUUCUGUAAAAAUUUCAUUGCUGUAAAAAAACUCAAAUACUUACUAAGAAAAGUAACAAUGAUGUAGAUUAUUGUAUGAAACAGAACAACAAUAUUGAUUAGUAAAAUCCAUUCGUAAAAUAAUGUUUCAACCACAAAUACAAAUAUUGUUCAUAAAAAUGAUUUAGCUUUUUAUCUGUGUUUUGAACAAUUUUCUAUAGUUUCUUGACACAGUGGUCUUUUUUUGUAUUUUAAUAUUUACAUCCUGAAAGUGUGAAAACUAAGACAAUAUGCACAUAUUUGCCUGUAGAGUAAGGAAACGAAAGUAGUUGAGAAAUAUUGAAGUUGUAUUGUUUGAAAAGGUAUAUGAAGUGUUAGAAACAUGAUGUUUUAACAAGAUACACUGUAUUUGGAAGAUGGAGACCCACUGUCAUAUGACAGUGAUAGAACAACAACAGUUUAACAAGAGCUUAUUUCUUGUGAAGAUGGAUACGUCUAUUUUCUUUUGUUAUUCUCCAAAAGCUCUAUAAAUUAGCUUGUUAAAAUGGGUUGCAGUAACUAGAUGGAAGACCUCCCCAAUUACAUUAUCUAUAGUAACUAGAUGGAAAACCUCCCUAAUUACAUUAUCUGUAGUAACUAGAGGGAAAACCUCCCUAAUUACAUUAAUCUGUAGUAACUAGAUGGAAAACCUCCCUAAUUACAUUAUCUGUAGUAACUAGAUCUAACACCCCCCUAAUUACAUUAUCUAUAGUAAUUAGAUGGAAGACCUCCCUAAUUACAUUAUCUAGAAUAACUAGAUGGAAGACCUCCCCAAUUAUAUUAUCUAUAGUAAUUAGAUGUAAAACUUCCCUAAUUACAUUAUCUGUAGUAACUAGAUGCAAAACCUCCCUAAUUAUAGUAUCCAGAGUAACUAGAUGGAAGAUCUAUCUAAUUACAUUACCUAUAGUAACUAGAUGGAAGAAUGGAAGACUUCUAAUUAUGUAAUCUAGAAUAAAUAUAUAAUGACAAAAAUUUUUUAAGCAAAUGAGCUUAAAAAUUAAAAUCAGUUUGGGCUGCCUAUGAUUUCCUUGUUAAUCAGUGAAUGGUAAAUUAUCAUUUCUGUUUAACAGAUAUUACAGUUUAAGGGUGUUUUUAUAACACCUGUCUAUAAAAAUAUGUAUGUAUGUGAUUUUUUGGUAAAGCACAUUACACAAUUUUACAUGUUUCUUCUAAUCACCUGAAGGUUUGGUUGCUGGGACAUACUGAUCAGUUCAGAGUUAUCCAGAAAAAUCCAGUUAGUGAUGUUUUUGUUUGUGGGAUAAAUGGGAAAGUACAACAGUUGUUUCCAGAGUGAGAAAGAAAGUGAGAUGUAUAUAAUUUAAAAAUAAAAGAUAUUGUAUAGA